GUUUCCGUAGGUGAACCUGCGGAAGGAUCAUUACCGAGUGCGGGAACCCAGUCGGGUCCCAAUCUCCCACCCGUGUCUACCACACCUAGUGUUGCUUUGGCGGGCCCACUCCUCCGGUGUUCCGCCGGGGGGGUCGUCCCGGGGCGCGGUGUGCCCCCGGGGCCCGUGCCCGCCAGAGGCACUCACUGUGAACGCUUUUGUGAAUGCGAGGAUUGUCUGAGUGACGAAAUGCAAUCGUUCAAAACUUUCAACAAUGGAUCUCUUGGUUCCGGCAUCGAUGAAGAACGCAGCGAAAUGCGAUAAGUAAUGUGAAUUGCAGAAUUCCGUGAAUCAUCGAAUCUUUGAACGCACAUUGCGCCCUCUGGUAUUCCGGGGGGCAUGCCUGUCCGAGCGUCAUUGCGAACCCUCAAGCACGGCUUGUGUGUUGGGCCGCCGUCCCCUCGUUUGGAGGGGACGGGCCUGAAAGGCAGCGGCGGCGUCGCGUCCGGUCCUCGAGCGUAUGGGGCUCUGUCACGCGCUCAAGGAGGGGUCCGGCCGGGGCCAUAGCCUCUGAAGGUCAAUUCUUCCAAGGUUGACCUCGGAUCAGGUAGGAGUACCCGCUGAACUUAAGCAUAUCAAUAAGCG
rnacentral:rRNA from 1 species